ensembl:processed_transcript Gm15286 predicted gene 15286
UCCGCCCAGUGCAGAAAGCAGUCCUCCUUUUGGCUGCUUUGGUAUCCGGAUGUAGUAGUAGAACUUUCGGUAUUUCCAACGCAUGACACUGCCAUGCUCCCCGUCAUGAUGAUAAUGGACUGGACUUCUGAAACUUACUGUGGAACUGUGGAUUGAACCUAGAGCUUUGCACACGUUACUAAACUAACCACUCAGUUUCAGACUCCGGACCGUGAGAUGGUGCUACCCAGAUCCAGGGUGUAUCUCUGUGGGGAUGCUCUCGCUUGCACAUACCUCCUCAUUGAUUGAAACCUCAGUCCAGGUGGCCUUGAAGAUUAAUCAUCACAGUAGCAGCCAACCCACUGCCCUGAGCUCUACAGGAUCUUCCACGUCCUCAGAUGCCAGCCUGAAAAUUAUACCCAACAUAUCCACACCUCCCUCACUACCUCAUUCUCCUACUUUGGUGUAGAUUUAUUUCAAAGAGUUAUUUGAAGCUUUAAUCAAAUUAUACACCAGGAGUUCCUGCCAUUUUUGUUGCUGAGUGAUAUCCUAUGCUAUUGAUGUGCCAUUUAUUGACAAACUAUUUAUCCUGUGGCGUACAACUGGUUAUUUUCAGAUUUAGAUUAUUAUGAA